UACGUAGGGUGCAAGCGUUUGUCCGGAAUUAUUGGGCGUAAAGAGCUCGUAGGCGGUUUGUCGCGUCUGCUGUGAAAACUCAGGGCUUAACCCUGAGCCUGCAGUGGGUACGGGCAGACUAGAGUGUGGUAGGGGAGAUCGGAAUUCCUGGUGUAGCGGUGGAAUGCGCAGAUAUCAGGAGGAACACCGGUGGCGAAGGCGGAUCUCUGGGCCAAUAACUGACGCUGGAGGAGCGAAAGCAUGGGGAGCGAACAGGA
rnacentral:rRNA from 1 species